CAAGCAGGGAGUAAAUGAUUUUAAAAUAUCCCAAUUUUUUUUUUUCUUUUCUAGUUCUAAACAAAGGAGAAAUUUCCCAAGAAGAGAGAAUAAAUCUACUUACGAAAAGAAUCAUGUAACAAGAAAAUCUAAGUAGCCUACUUCUGAUUUUAAAAUUAUAGCUGUUUGUAGAGGUUGGUAGGUCUGGUCACAGCAAACAUCUGGGUAGCUGGUGUGGAAGGUGUUUCAGAUGUGGAUGUCAGCGAAUGUAGCCUCCAGUCAAACCUCAGAUCAUAUACAUCUUGGAAUUACUAGAGGAAGCUGCAGGCAGAGAGUGUUAGAUGCCAUGUUUCCUCUGGGAGCAUGUGACCCAAUCUUUGUUCCAUGUGAAGUUAUUAAAGAGCCAAAUCCUUUGCCUCUUGAGUGAUGCAGCAGAAGUCCCCAGCAGCUAACUCUGUUCCCAAUUCUCCUGCCAGUCCUGCACAGUCCUGUCCAGUCCAGCUCAGUCCACGAUGGUCUUGCCUCACUCUGAACUCCUUAAGCAGCUGCUGAAGCUAUUACCCCCUCACUUUUCUACUGUCUAUUUUUUUCUUUGAUUCUCUUGAACUACACCGUUCUCAUCUUCCUCCACAGAAUGCGAGCUUCUAAGAGACCCACGCAUCUUACGUGUCUUUCUGUAGUGCCCAAGGCCAAAUUCAUCAUUUGAAGUGGGUUUACAAUAUGUUUUCACACUCACACACUAUUGUUUGUUGUUGGCUGAUGGAUUUCAAACACUGUCA
rnacentral:lncRNA from 1 species